rnacentral:tRNA from 1 species
GCUGCGUUAGUUCAGUUGGUAAGACGACCGGUUUGUACCCGGUAGACGUGGGUUCGAAUCCCUCACGCAGCU